AAGGACGUCUUCCAGCUCUCGGGGCUUCUUUCGCUGGGAGGGCGAGGAAGCAGCUUUUCCUCUCCCCGGGAGGUGGGAGCAGGCGGUCUCUCCUUCAAGCUUCGCCAAGUGGCUCCGGGAGCGAAGCGAGUUUCUUCCCCGGGUAUAAAUCGUCAGCAGUCACCAAGGAAAAGCGGGGAUGCUCGCGGGAUGGCUGUCUGUGGGCAACAGACGGGCUGCGUAGAUGCUCUAUGCGGGGACCGUAGCAGACAUCCUACGUGCGUAUGCGGGUCAGGUUUGGAAGCCUCCGUUUUAUGUCUCUACGUGUGACCAGAAACGGAGCAAGCGGCAGGCUUGGGAGCGAAAGCGCUGCUGAGGCGUCUCCUUCGCCUCAUGGCCCGCCCUUAACACCAAACAGACUCGCCCACCUUCUGAAAACCUGACUGAAUUACACGAAGUGGUUUCUUGAUGCAGCAGGUAACCGUUUCCGCGGGGGGAACUGCGAGGCAGAAUUGCAAAGCGAUGCCUGGUGCCGGCUCUGGGCUCUUCCCGCUCCCCCCCACUCCGUAGAAAGGGAGGUGGAGGGAGAACCAAGCGAAACCAUUCACCCAGACCUGGGAGGAAAGAAUGCGGCACCGGCUGCUGAAGGAAGUGAUCAUCUGCCGGGCGACAUCCGUGGAAUUUCACCCGAAAUUGCCAGCUUAAUCUGGCUCUUUUGAGUGUGAUCUGUUUUUAAAGGAACGGGGGUGGGGGGUAGAAAUGAGCUUAACUAUCUGGUAAACAAUUUGCGUGGAAUCUUCUGUCCGUUCCCGAUGUUGCCUUGCCAAAAAGCAGGUCAACCUUGGAGGUUUGCAUAAGAUUGUUUAAAAAAUAAAGUGCUCUUUGCUCGAUCUGCACCUACAUUUGCGGGUCUCCAGGCCUUCCACCCCACACACACACUGUUGAGUUGAAGUGCCGUCUCCCAUCCUUGAGUCGGCAGAAAACUACAGUACCUGCCUGUCUAUGCCCUGCUCUGCCAGCUACCUGACUUCUUUUCAAAAUAGCAGGUGAUACUCAAUUUUAUAAAGAUCACAGAGGAUCCCCAAGGCCCCUUCCAACUUUGUUACUGUUAUUGGUGCUUUAACUCUGUCUUAUUCCUGGGUGGGGACAAGGCAAACUCAGAUGACAUGGCAGAAAAAAGUAUGCCAGAGCAGGUUAAUGCCAUGUCAUGGUUUGAUGCAAGAGAUAAUGUCAGAACAUGUGCUGCUGAGAGAGAAAUUGUGGACCUUAGCAAGUCCCAUUUCAUCAGCUUUGUUCCCAGGACAGACAUCUUUGUGUCUGCAGGCAGAUGGAUUUGUGUGCUGCCUGGCGCUAGUGAGCCAGCUCAGGUGACCUUUUUCUAGAAAGCAAUUUUAAGGUGGUGUACUUUUAUAUGGAUCCACCCAUCACUCAUUCACAUAAAUAAAAACAACACCCCAGUGGAGACCAAAAUCCCAGACCGAUAAUUAAGGAUAAACACUGCUCCACAAGUUAUAAGUGAAACUUUACUAUAAAAGAAAAUAAAUUAGGAAGAAAGGGAGUGCAAUUAAUGGUACGCCAUUCAGAAUCGCUCUGUAAGUGAGAUGGGCAGUCGGUUAUAAAUAAAAUAAAAUUAAUUUUCUUAAAGAAAUACAGCCUGCUUUGUGUCCAUUCUUUUAGCAACUUGGGGAAAGAGACUCAAUACAUUUUAGGCAGGAAUUUUCCUCCCUGCUUUCUAACAGCAUUACUUUUAAUUCUGUGAGAAAUGUUCUUUCAAGUGUAACAAAAUAGUUUUUCAGCAACUGCCGCCCCCUCCCCUCCCCUGGAAGUCUGUGUUUUUAACUGCUCUGUCUCUUUGCUUAUAAUUUUUUGAAGCUUUCCAGUUGUUUCAAAGUGCCCAUGUUCCCUCUAGUGGUGAAUUGUAAGACAACACCUGAGGCAUUUCUAAUAAGGGAUUUUACUGAGUUUAUUUCAAUCAGUUUGCCUAUACCAGGUAAGAUAUACUUCAAUAUUUUUUUUUAAAGGCCACUAAGAGUUGCUAAAAAUAUGGAAUAACUCUUUCAGAUAAUCUAAGACUAGGAAAGGUUUUAAGAAUGUGCAAAUCUACCAAAAUAUAUUUCAUAUCAUGGAAGGGUGGAUUCAAAUUAUACCAUAAUAGAAAUAAAUAUAGAUAGCAAAUAUAAUAUUUGCUGACUGUAUGAUACAGACUGAAACAGAAAAUCAUGCUACAGUAUUCCGCAUUAUAGUUUUCCAUAUUGCUGAAGCUAGUUUUUUCUCUUGUAGCUAUGCCUAAGAUGGCCACUAUAGAGUUAAGCCGGUGAAGUGAUAAAUUAUUAACAGGAUAACAGGUUACAAACAAAAUGCAAUUGUCAUAGUUCUAUUUUCAAGCAGUUGACAUUAAAGAAUAAACAGAAGCAGUAGCACAAUAACUUUGGAUCCAUUAUCCUUUUUCCCCCAAAAGAAAGUAACAUGGCUUUCAGACUGGCAAGUGCCACUACAAAACAAUUCAUAUGGGUUUAUUGACUUAAAUUUGUUCAUUUAUCUAUUAUCUAUCUAUUAAUCUAUCUAUUAAUCUAUGUACCUUUCAUUAUGUGAUUAAACAAUUAUUGGAGCUACUUACUUUUGCCAAUAAAUACCUUUGACUUUUGCUUAUAAUUAGAAUCAUAAGGUACAUUAAGAAGUGAUUUAGUCUACAUGAACAUGCAUUAAAAAAUUGAAAUAAAGAAUUUUCACUGAGGAAUACAAACAAAUAUAAUACAAUAAUUGCAAAG